AAUUCUUCCACAUUAUACAUUCCUAAACUCAAAAUCAACUUCUUCCCAUAUUACUCUUACCAAAUUACUCCUCCACUUAAAAAUCUCCAAAACCUUUUAUCCUACACAUUAUUUAAAGCCAAAUUUCUCUACAUCACCUUCCAAACUAUCCUACAAACAAACCUCACCCUACCUAUUCCACUACAAUCUUAAUAACCCCUAAAAUAUA
rnacentral:misc_RNA from 1 species